rnacentral:rRNA from 1 species
AGCGAACGCUGGCGGCAGGCUUAACACAUGCAAGUCGAGCGGGCCCUUAGGGGUCAGCGGCGGACGGGUGAGUAACGCGUGGGAACGUGCCUUCUGGUUCGGAAUAAACGUGGGAAACUAGGGCUAAUACCGGAUACGCCUUUUUGGGGAAAGGUUUACUGCCGGAAGAUCGGCCCGCGUCUGAUUAGCUAGUUGGUGGGGUAACGGCCUACCAAGGCGACGAUCAGUAGCUGGUCUGAGAGGAUGAUCAGCCACACUGGAACUGAGACACGGUCCAGACUCCUACGGGAGGCAGCAGUGGGGAAUAUUGGACAAUGGGCGAAAGCCUGAUCCAGCCAUGCCGCGUGAGUGAUGAAGGCCUUAGGGUUGUAAAGCUCUUUCGGUGGGGAAGAUAAUGACGGUACCCACAGAAGAAGCCCCGGCUAACUUCGUGCCAGCCGCCGCCGUAA